rnacentral:rRNA from 1 species
AACAAUUAAACGGCCGCGGUACUCUAACCGUGCAAAGGUAGCAUAAUCAUUUGUCCACUAAUUAUGGACUAGCAUGAAAGGCAAAAUGAGGGUUUAACUGUCUCUUAUAGUAAGUCAAUUAAACUGAUCUACCAGUAAAAAAGCUGGAAUAAACACACAAGACCAGAAGACCCUGUGAAGCUUAAACUAACCUAUUAAACCACAUAAUAGCUACUUUCGGUUGGGGCGACCUUGGAAAAUAAAAAAACUUCCAAACUAGUGAUAAUUAUCACCACCAGGCCAACAAGCCACAUAUGACCCAGCACAUCUGAUAACUGAACCAAGUUACUCCAGGGAUAACAGCGCCAUCUUCUUCAAGAGUCCAUAUCAAAAAGAAGGUUUACGACCUCGAUGUUGGAUCAGGACACCCCAA